GACGAACGCUGGCGGCGUGCUUAACACAUGCAAGUCGAGCGGUAAGGCCCUUUCGGGGGUACACGAGCGGCGAACGGGUGAGUAACACGUGGGUGACCUGCCCUCAGCUCUGGGAUAAGCCUGGGAAACCGGGUCUAAUACUGGAUAUGACUCCAUGACGCAUGUUGUGGGGUGGAAAGCCUUGUGCGGCUGAGGAUGGGCCCGCGGCCUAUCAGCUUGUUGGUGGGGGUGANGGCCUACCAAGGCGACGACGGGUAGCCGGCCUGAGAGGGCGACCGGCCACACUGGGACUGAGACACGGCCCAGACUCCUACGGGAGGCAGCAGGUGGGGAAUCUUGCGCAAUGGGCAAAAGCCUGACGCAGCGACGCCGCGUGAGGGAUGACGGCC
rnacentral:rRNA from 1 species